AUUCCAUGCAGUUUGAUGUUUUUGUCAAACAGCGACCCCUAGAGUCACUGGGGAAAACUUGCAACUGUCGUAAUUUCGCACGCCCACUCUGUACGUACCUGUUAGGAUAGUGUUGGGCGUGAGAUGGACUUCGAAGAUAAUGACCAGGGAAUGUUUCACAGUUUCAUACAAAUAUUAGGCUACUGCAUGUCUACUAAACUACAGAUGAUGGUAAUAGGAUAAUAUGAAGUUUAUGCCAAGUGUAGAGUAGGCAUAUAAUAAUAAAAGUAGCCUACCGCGUUUGCUGGCUUAUUACGUUUUUACAAGAUUGCAGCUUAAUCACAAGUAAACAGUCUAUAGUCUAACGUUAUGUCUACUGUAUAAUUUCAUUUGUUUUUUAAUUGUAAUGUAAACAUUACAAAAUGUAUUGACAAAGUUAAUUGUAUACGUUGCAUUAUUUCAUAACAUUGGCCGUUAUUCGUUGGCCAUAAGCAAUCGAAAUUAGACAAAUGACUACGUACACAUCACAACACAACACUUGAGUUUAGAUGGCCAAAAAAAACAUGUAAGAGAAACGAGUGUUUGUUAGCAAGUCUGCUAAAUGCUCUUAUGAUCGUAAGCUAGCUAGACCCUUGUUGAAGUUAUUUUACUGGUCUAAUUAUCAACACUGGAUGAAUGAACAGCUUAGUAAAAAAAUACACACUACAAGCAAGCGCAACCACAUACAACAUAGACCGCAAACAAAUUUACAAAUAAAAGAUUUACUUACUUGUCCAUCAACAAGAUCGCCAGAUCAGCAUCCCUUUUGCAUCCAGGGCUGUCUAUUAGCUCACGCCAACGAGUAAAAACCUGACCGCGUGGGACUCUUGUCCGGUUCCUAACUCGGUCAGAUUCUCUUUUUCGCUUUCUACUCUCUUCCGAACGGAUUUUCUUAGCUGUUUCCCUCAUCGAGCAUCACGUCUCAAAUGCGCGCGUGCAGUUGUUGUUACAGGCUUGUUGUUACAGGCUUGUUUGACUUCGUGCAGCGCUGCAGGAACCAACAGCCGGAUGACGUCAAAGUGCCGUCUCGGAUCAUUCUCGCGGUACUUUUACGUCAUCCGACUGCCGGUUCUUGCAGCGCUGCACGAAGUCGAACAAGCCUAACGUGUGUGACGUCGUUGCCGUAAAGCAAGUCGUGAUUCUCGCGAGAUUUGUCAGGGGCGGUUCUCUCAAGCUUGCAUUGCUGGUUUUGGUAGCGGCGUCCUUCCCGAGCUUCAACAGGGGGAUGAUUCGCCAUACUAUGACUUCGUUUACCAUCGAAAUGACUUUGAAGCUGUUAUAUUAAGAGGUCAUGUACCAUGUGGUCGACCUUGCUGAUGCUGAAGAGGUUUCUGUGUUAAAAUGAUGACAUUGAGACAAACAGACCAGUUCCGGCUGCCGUGGAGGUCAACACACCACUGAUCUACUGGCUGCCCUUCAACGUGAUGCCCAGCCGAUGCCUGACCACCGACGGAACCCGCUAAAUCUCCUUAUCUGUUUACAUCCCAUAUAUAUAUGUGUAUAUCUUUUCCUCCUAGGACUUUUUGUUCCUCCCUGAGGUUUUUCUCCUAGGGGUUUUUUCAACCUCGGGGAGUCAACCAACAUUGGCUUAACUUAGCACCCUCUUUUAUACGAGACAUUAUUAAUUUACUCGCUUGUAAGUUUGCUCGCUUGUUCUAUGUUUCCCCUGCUUCUUUUAAUGUAAAGCUGCUUUGAAACAACUACAAAUUGUGAAAAGCGCUAUAUAAAUAAAAUUGAAAUUGAAAUGUCUCUUUCCUGUUUUACAGAUGCAGUGAGGGAGUGAUUUCCCAACAUCGAGGUGGCAGAGAUCCGGGACCUUCUACGGAGGAAGUGCAACAAUGCCAGUUACAAGGCCUCCAGUAGUUCAAAUCAGAGCUAGAUGUGCAUAUAGUACAAGUUGUUCGCAAUUGUUCUCUUCCCGGCAUUUCAAAGAAAGUCGACUGUUUAAGGUUCCCAUUUUGCCAAUAUCUGUUUUGUGUGUUACUUUUGUGUCAAUAAUAAAGAUCCUUUUUUGAAAUGCA